rnacentral:rRNA from 1 species
GUCCUACGGGGGGCUGCAGUGGGGAAUAUUGGACAAUGGGGGAAACCCUGAUCCAGCAAUGCCGCGUGAGUGAUGAAGGCCUUAGGGUUGUAAAGCUCUUUUACCCGGGAUGAUAAUGACAGUACCGGGAGAAUAAGCUCCGGCUAACUCCGUGCCAGCAGCCGCGGUAAUACGGAGGGAGCUAGCGUUGUUCGGAAUUACUGGGCGUAAAGCGCGCGUAGGCGGCUAUUCAAGUCAGGGGUGAAAUCCCGGGGCUCAACCCCGGAACUGCCUUUGAAACUAGGUGACUAGAAUCUUGGAGAGGUCAGUGGAAUUCCGAGUGUAGAGGUGAAAUUCGUAGAUAUUCGGAAGAACACCAGUGGCGAAGGCGACUGACUGGACAAGUAUUGACGCUGAGGUGCGAAAGCGUGGGGAGCAAACAGGAUUAGAUACCCGAGUAGUCU